rnacentral:ncRNA from 1 species
GGGGUACGCUUAGAGCCCCCAUGUGCGGCGUGUUAAUAGUCGUGCUUUUGGCCAGGCCCGACGGUUAGUGAAUC